GAUGAACGCUGGCGGCGUGCCUAAUACAUGCAAGUCGAGCGAACAGACGAGGAGCUUGCUCCUCUGACGUUAGCGGCGGACGGGUGAGUAACACGUGGAUAACCUACCUAUAAGACUGGGAUAACUUCGGGAAACCGGAGCUAAUACCGGAGAAUAUAUUGAACCGCAUGGUUCAAUAGUGAAAGACGGUUUUGCUGUCACUUAUAGAUGGAUCCGCGCCGCAUUAGCUAGUUGGUAAGGUAACGGCUUACCAAGGCUACGAUGCGUAGCCGACCUGAGAGGGUGACCGGCGUCAAUGGUCCUGAGAGAAGGCCCAGUCUGGAACGUGAGGCAGUAGUGGGGAAUAUUACACAAUGGGCGGAAGCGUGAUGCAGAAACGCCGCGUUCGUAAAGCUGUCCUACGAGGUGAAAACCGAUUUCGCCUUUGACGAAGCGUGAGUGACGGUAACGGGUAAAGAAGCAACGGCUAACUACGUG
rnacentral:rRNA from 1 species